GGGUCUGGGGGAGCGCUUGGAUGUGGAGCGUUGCUUAAAUGAGGUGCCGAGGGAUGAACCUUUGUGCCGGGGAGUAGCAGAGGGAUAGGAUGUAAACCAGACACAAAUGGAGGAGGCCAGAGGAGCACAGCAAUGAGAAGAUGCGAAGCGCUUGGUACGGCCAGGUACUGGUACCGGGGGCACCAUGAGCCAGAUGAGUAUUGGUGGUCUGAAGCAUUCCAACCGCUGGUCCAAUAUGACAGAGGCCCUUGCGGAAAGAGGUCACGGUCAAGCGGUUUCAGAUGGAAACUAAUCCGGCAAUGCCA